rnacentral:lncRNA from 1 species
AGAGGAGCGGGCGGAGGGGGAGGUGGAGGCAUCUGCAGCUGGACAGAGAAGUGGUGCUUUGUUUCUCUGUGCCUCAGUUUCCCUCUUGGUAAAAUAGGCAUGGUUCCUCCUAUGGAUGUAAGAAGGACCUAGGAACCUUUGCAAGGGCAGAGGAGUCCGCCCCUCUGGUCUGACUGGGAGACAAGGUGUUCCCCAAUCUGAUGGUGGGGACAAGGUGGCCCAACACAGUGGGAAAAAUAAGGAAACUAAGGAGCUCUCACCAAAUCCCAUGAGGGAGACAGGACUGUCCAAAUCCAAUGAAGAAGAUAAGAAGCUCCAGUCCUGUGCAGCAAGAACGAGUGUCCAGUCUAUAUUUCCAGUCUGCCAGGGGAGGUGCUGUUCUAGGCGCUGAGGAUGCAGCCGUGCACAAGACGGAUGAAAUCCCUGCCCUCAGGGGGCCGACAUUUGCGGAGUAAAUAAAGGAAAGGCCAACAUGAACAGCUGAUUUGGAUACCAUCAAGACACCUGAAAUUUUAGCAUGAGCCAGAUGCCAAGGAAGAGACUCCGGGAGGAUCCUGAGGACCCCCCGGUUGCAGCCAUGUCGAGGCUGAUGCUGAGGAGGACCCCAACUGUCACGAGAAACACCCGUCGAACACAGCCACCCAGCUGGAGACAGAUCAAGAAGCUGUCACAGAUGAUGGAAGAAAACCUGAGGAAAGCGGGACAACCACUCAGAAUGAGUAAUGGUAGCUAUGAUAGUGGUAAUCACCAUUGCCGUGAGUAUUCCUUAAAGAAGGGCUGACACAGAGAACAAUUAUACUUAUUAGGCAUAUUCAUCAAUCUUGGCUGGCAAUAAUGCCUGGAUGUAAUCACUCU